GGCCAGUUAGCUCAGUCAGUAGAGCGUAGCGCUAACGCUAAGGUCGCAGGUUCGAUUCCUGUUUGGUCC
rnacentral:tRNA from 1 species